rnacentral:rRNA from 1 species
AAUCAUGGCUCAGGAUGAACGCUAGCUACAGGCUUAACACAUGCAAGUCGAGGGGCAGCAUGAAAGGAACUUCGGUUCUUUUUGAUGGCGACCGGCGCACGGGUGCGUAACGCGUAUCGAACCUGCCUCAUACUCGGGGAUAGCCUUGCGAAAGUAAGAUUAAUACCCGGCGGUCUCGGAUGGCCGCAUGACUAGCCGAGUGAAGAUUUAUCGGUAUGAGAUGGCGAUGCGUCCCA